UACGUAGGGUGCAAGCGUUGUCCGGAAUUAUUGGGCGUAAAGAGCUCGUAGGCGGCUUGUCACGUCGGUUGUGAAAGCCCGGGGCUUAACCCCGGGUCUGCAGUCGAUACGGGCAGGCUAGAGUUCGGUAGGGGGAGAUCGGAAUUCCUGGUGUAGCGGGUGAAAUGACGCAGAUAUCAGGAGGAACACCGGUGGCGAAGGCGGAUCUCUGGGCCGAUACUGACGCUGAGGAGCGAAAGCGUGGGGAGCGAACAGG
rnacentral:rRNA from 1 species